AACCACGCUGGUGGUCUAGUGGUUAGAACAUCUGCCUCAGAUGCAGGAGGUCAUGGGUUCGAACCCCAGUCAGGUCA